rnacentral:lncRNA from 1 species
GCGAGUUCGGGCCACUGCUGGUGCUGAGCUGCCGCGUGUGCCUAGAGGAGAAGCCCAUCAAGCCCCUGUCCUGCUGCAAGAAGGCGGUGUGCGAGGAGUGCCUGCGGCGGUACCUCAGCUCCCAGGUGCAGCUGGGACAAGUGGAUAUAAAAUGUCCUAUCACAGAGUGCAGCGAACACCUGGAUGAAACAACUGUCCUCUAUAACCUGCCCCAUGAUGACAUCAUCAAGUAUAAAUAUUUCCUGGAACUCAGCCGCAUUGACUCCAGCACCAAGCCAUGUCCUCAGUGCAAGCACUUUACAACCUUCCGGAGGAGAGGCCACAUUCCUACCCCUGCCAAAUUGGAGAACAAAUACAAAAUCCAGUGUCCGUCUUGCCAAUUUGUUUGGUGUUUCAAGUGCCACUCUCCCUGGCAUGAAGGCGUUAACUGCAAAGAAUACAAGAAGGGAGACAAGCUGUUGCGUCACUGGGCCAACGAAAUUGAACAUGGGCAGAGGAAUGCCCAGAAGUGUCCAAAAUGCAAGAUCCACAUCCAGA